GAACAAAACAACCUCCGAGUGAUUUUAAAUCUAGACCUACCAGUCAAAAGUACUACAUCACUUAUUGAUCCAAAACAUUUGAUCAACGGAACA
rnacentral:rRNA from 1 species